CUAACCCUAGUUUUGCAGGGCCAGAGAUAGCUAUGGGGAGUCAGAGUCUGCAGAGUUAGAGUAUGAAGUGUAUGUAAUAGAGUAGUGGACAUGAUGUAAAUUAAAGGAUUAGUAUGUAAUGGAAUGUCUCGAUAUGUAAUGUCAUGUAAUGGAUAGAGUUGUGCUUUGCCCUAGUGUAUGGUUUCUCCCUUGUUAUGCAUGAUCUUUAUUGACUGUUUUAUGUGUUAAGAUAAGAAAG
rnacentral:lncRNA from 1 species